CCACACCCCGUCAAAGUCUCUCUUUAAUCUCUGCUCUCACCACCUCCUCGGAGGGCUUCAGCGAGCACUUUCUGCAUCACAUGUCAUGCAUCACCCCCCUGCUGUCUCUCUCUCUCACUUUUUUUCUUCUUCUUCUUUUUCUACGCACUCGUUCUAACACACCCUAAAUGACACAAGUCAGCCUCUUUGCCAUUCUUCGCUCUCCAGCAACACAAACAGUAUCUCUCACUCACAACUUUGGUAAGUUUUUCGGGUUUUUUAAAAAAAAUGUCUUUCCUGUUUUUCUCUUAAGCUCAUUUUUGCUGCGCACAUCUUUUACACUGAAACUGCUUUGUCUGCUUUUCCCCUGUUGUGAUUUUUAAUACUUUGGAUUUUGAAGUACUUGAAGCAUUUAUUUAAUCUAUGCUAAGCUACAUUUGAGGUACAAUUACAGCACCUCAGGCAAUAAUUUGCAACUUAGAUCAGUUAUUCUGAUCCAUUUUGGCUUUAAUUGCUCUUUGUAAGUGGACCUGCUUUAGUUCUUGAUUAAUUUUGCAAUAGUUGAUGUCGGCUCUCGGUCUGAUGAACUCCGAGUGAAAAAGUUUCCACCCAUGGCGGGCUGACUGAUGCUGUUCAGUUAUCAUUUUGACAGGAAACCAGCAAACGCUCUGAGCGGUCUGCAAAGCUUCCUGUCAUCCUAGUGAACACAAUUUAGAGUUUAACAAGGGCAGACUUCCUGUAACAUCUCCAGUAUCCUGAGUAUAAAAUUCACCAAUGGAUCUCCUGAUGACAAGUUCACAGCUGCUUUGAAAGCACCAGGAGUUUGUGACUGUAAAGUUCAGCCUGUAACUGAGACUCCAAACCAUCCAGGAAUUUUUUUUCUUUAAUUCAACUGUAACUUCUUCCUAAGGAGGGAUGGGGGAUUCUGAACAAAACAGCACUCCAUUGGUGCUGGGCCUUUUGUUCAUCCUAUUAUUCCUCCUUGUUGUGCUCUUUGUACUGUACAAGAAGCUGAACAGGGAGGCUGAAGGGGAAUAUACAGUCCGACGCAUCGUCUACAAGGAAGGAGGUCUCAGGGACCAGGCGAGAAGUGCAGCGUUAGCUGUGGGGGCACGUCUUGGGGUCCAGCUGUGGCCUGGAAGUGAUGAAGAAGAGGAAGGGGAGGAAAUGCAGGAAGUCCAAGAUGAAGAAGAACAGGUGGAUAGUGGUGGUAGUCAGGAGAGUGACACAGAGGGAGAUGAAGAGGAGGAGGACAACGACACUGGUAAUGCUAAGGAGAAAGAAAGUAAUACUUCAAAUGAUGACUCAAGUAUUGGGAGUUCAGAGGCAGGAGAGCAAACCAAACUUAACGAUGAGUCUGAGCCAGAGGGAGAGACGGAAGAUAAAAGUGAAGAAAAGGAGGAGAAAGUGGGAGAAGAGCAGAGUAAAGCUGAGGCAAGUGGAGGGCCGGGAUUGCUGAUAGAUCUAAAGCAGUUCUCUGGAAGUGCGAUCUGGUCUGAAGAAGGUGGUGAGGGUAAAGGUGACGUGACGGCGUUGUGAGAAUCAGAAAUAAUGAAUAAGACUGAGGAAACUGCCAAAUCAGGAUUUCACAAACAUCAGCUUCAUCCCCUAAAUGUCUCCCCACUGCAAAUUCCUUCUAUUAGUCUAAAAAAAUAAAAUAAAAUAAAAGAUACAUGCACCCACCCAUUAAACCCAAAGAGCUUUAAUCUUUCAUGACCUCACUGACCUUGCUUUCCUCUGGUCAAAUUUUUUUGAUGAAUAAAGCAGUUAUAUAAACAUACAGGGGUACUCUAGAUUGUAACUGUAAAGUGUAAAAAAAAAAACCAAUACUUGUCUAUACUUUUUUGCUUUAAAUGUUUAUUUUAAUCUACAUAAGAAAUUGAAAACUGGAAACUUUUUUUAGUGUUUUCUGCUCUGUUUUUUGUUGUUCUUUAUGCCGUUUGUAGAAAUAAAAAAAGAGUAGUAAUUAAAUAUAGUGAGAACAAAAUAAUGCGUUAUUUGUUUUAUUGAAAACAAGUGAAUGUAACCGAUCAAACUUUAAGUCAACAUACAUUUUAUAUGGUGUGUAAAUGGUUGAAAAUUUAAUAAACCACAUACUGAAAAUACGAAUGAAUUGUAUACUUUAAAAAUAUAUAAAACAUGCAGUAAUGCUAUCAGCGGAAGCAUGUGUACAUAACGUGAUCAUAGCAUGACGAAGCUAAAAUUCUUCCGUGUUUUACGUUUUUAGGGUUUUAGAGAAAAAACAUGCUAGCGGUACGCCACAAGUUUCCUGUUGUAUGCAUUAACCGGAGCAAAUACAUAUGAAUAACAAUAUAACUUUCAAUAUUAAAGUCGUAAUUACACCAAAAUCAGCCACAAUAGCGGUACAGCCAUGAGUUACAGAUAAAUCCUCUCCUUGUUGAUCAUUCAGCCAAUGGGGAUGUAGCUCAGUGGUAGAGCGCAUGCUUCGCAUGUAUGAGGUCCCGGGUUCAAUCCCCGGCAUCUCCAAAGAUUUUUUUUUCAACUUUUAUUUCCGUAUAAGUUGUAAAUGUUAUAAAGUGCAAUAUUGUCACAGAAGUCACAGAAGAAGAGGUAAAAAAUUUUAAAGCAAUACGGCAUAACUAUAUAGCAAACACCGUCACCUCAAUGUGUGCGCGAGGUGAGGUAGGUUUGCGAUUGGCCCAAAGCAGCCCGUGCUCGAAUGUGAUUGGACGGUGGAUGCCUUGGAGGCGUGGGGGUGUUCAUACACGCGAGCCUCAAAGAUUUAUUUUCACCCGUCCAGUACCUGAUAGUUAAGUGAGAGCUGGUCGAUGG
ensembl:lncRNA